rnacentral:rRNA from 1 species
UGGGGAAUCUUGCACAAUGGGGGAAACCCUGAUGCAGCGACGCCGCGUGAGCGAUGAAGCCCUUCGGGGUGUAAAGCUCUUUCGGCAGGGACGAUGAUGACGGUACCUGCAGAAGCAGCUGCGGCUAACUACGUGCCAGCAGCCGCGGUAAUACGUAGGCAGCAAGCGUUGUUCGGAGUUACUGGGCGUAAAGGGUGUGUAGGCGGCUAUUUAAGUUUGGUGUGAAAUCUCCCGGCUCAACUGGGAGGGUGCGCCGAAUACUGAGUGGCUAGAGUGCGGGCGAGGAGAGUGGAAUUCCUGGUGUAGCGGUGAAAUGCGUAGAUAUCAGGAGGAACACCGGCGGUGUAGACGGCUCUCUGGACCGUAACUGACGCUGAGACACGAAAGCGUGGGUAGCAAACA